AGCUUUGCGCAGUGGCAGUGUCGUAACCAAUGAGGAUUAUCCGAGGUGCGAUUAUUGAUAGUUGAAAAUUAUUACCAAUACCCCGCCCUGGUGAUGUAAUCGCAUCACCUGAGACAAUGUCUGAAGGGUUCAAUACAAU